rnacentral:rRNA from 1 species
UACGUAGGGGGCAAGCGUUAUCCGGAUUUACUGGGUGUAAAGGGAGCGUAGACGGUUGUAUAAGUCUGGAGUGAAAGCCCGGGGCCCAACCCCGGGACUGCUUUGGAAACUGUGUAACUUGAGUACAGGAGGGGCAGGCGGAAUUCCUGGUGUAGCGGUGAAAUGCGUAGAUAUCAGGAGGAACACCGGCGGCGAAGGCGGCCUGCUGGACUGAAACUGACGUUGAGGCUCGAAAGCGUGGGGAGCAAACAGGG